rnacentral:rRNA from 1 species
AGAAACCAACAGGGAUUGCCUCAGUAACGGCGAGUGAAGCGGCAACAGCUCAAAUUUGAAAUCUGGCCCUUUCGGGGUCCGAGUUGUAAUUUGUAGAGAGUGCUUCGGGGGAGGCGGCGGUCUAAGUCCAUUGGAACAUGGCGUCAUAGAGGGUGAGAAUCCCGUAUGCGACCGUGGCUCGAACCCAUGUGAAGCCUCUUCGACGAGUCGAGUUGUUUGGGAAUGCAGCUCAAAAUGGGUGGUAAAUUUCAUCUAAAGCUAAAUACCGGCUGGAGACCGAUAGCGCACAAGUAGAGUGAUCGAAAGAUGAAAAGCACUUUGGAAAGAGAGUCAAACAGUACGUGAAAUUGUUGAAAGGGAAGCGCUUGCAACCAGACCUGCCCGCAGGCGAUCAGCCGCUGUUCUCAGCGGUGCACUCGCCCUGCGAUCAGGCCAGCAUCGGUUUCGGCGGUCGGAUAAAGGCCUUGGGAAUGUAGCUCCCCUUCGGGGGAGCCUUAUAGCCCUCGGUGCAAUGCGGCCAGCCGAGACCGAGGACCGCGCUUCGGCUAGGAUGCUGGCGUAAUGGUUGUAAGCGACCCGUCUUGAAACACGGACCAAGGAGUCUAACAUCUAUGCGAGUGUUUGGGUGUCAAACCCAUGCGCGGAAUGAAAGUGAACGGAGGUGAGAACCCUGAAGGGCGCAUCAUCGACCGAUCCAGAUGUCUUCGGAUGGAUUUGAGUAUGAGCAUAGCUGUUGGGACCCGAAAGAUGGUGAACUAUGCCUGAAUAGGGUGAAGCCAGAGGAAACUCUGGUGGAGGCUCGCAGCGGUUCUGACGUGCAAAUCGAUCGUCAAAUUUGGGUAUAGGGGCGAAAGACUAAUCGAACCAU